UUCCAGCUCCAAUAGCGUAUAUUAAAGUUGUUGCAGUUAAAAAGCUCGUAGUUGGAUUUCUGGCGUCGCCGCCCGGUUGGCCUCGAAAGGGGUAUGUACUGGGGCGCGCGUUGCCAUCCUCGGGGGAAGGUCGUCUGGCAUUAGGUUGACGGACGGUCGACGCUCGUCGUUUACUGUGAACAAAUUAGAGUGUUCAAAGCAGGCUUAGGCCGUUGAAUACAUUAGCAUGGAAUAAUGAGAUAGGACUUUGGUGGUCUAUUUUGUUGGUUUGCACGCCGAAGUAAUGAUUAAUAGGGGCGGUUGGGGGUAUUCGUAUUCAAUUGUCAGAGGUGAAAUUCUUGGAUUUAUGGAAGACGAACUACUGCGAAAGCAUUUACCAAGGAUGUUUUCAUUA
rnacentral:rRNA from 1 species